CAGAAAUGUGGAAAAGCUGCAGAUGGCGUGUUUGAUGGAGCAACAGCUGGAAGGAGAUACUGUAGAAAGUCCACUCGACAAGGUAAAUUCUGGAAGAAAUACGGAAAAGCUGCUGAUGGUGUGUUUGACGGAGCAACAGCUGCAAGGAGAUACUGUAGAAAGUCCACUCUACAAGGUCAAUGCUGGAAGGGUCACACGGGAGCCGCAGCCUAACCUGAUCCGGAAUCAAACCCAGAAGCACCUGGCUGUGAGGCAGAUAAUGUGACCACAGUCAUUACAGGAAGAGUGAGGGCGUGGGGCGAUAUUCAUCUGCUUGUAAGAAGAAGAAGAAGAAGAAGAAGAAGAAGGUAAAAGAGUAUCCUUUCCUUUCUCCUUUUGUUUGUGGCACUUUAGAGCCCCUUGGCUGGUGUUUUUGAGACGUUUAGGGCCGAGCCCAUCAUUCAGUGAGAAAUAUGUCCGACUCGCCCUCUCAAAGGCCCGGCCGACGAUCUUAAGAAGAACGCUGUCUGGGGAGGAAAGAGGCGGCUCGGGGGGAGAUAAUGAAGGGAGUUGCUCUCGGUGGUUUUUGUCAGGCGCUUUGUCUCGCUUAGAAAAGUCAGCAGGUUAAGCAACAGGCCCCCUUUUGAUCUUUUGUCACCGCUACCGAGGCGCCAUAGGCCGGUGGAGGUGUGCAACACCUGUGCCAAAACCACACAGACCUGUAGAAAUGGCCCAAAUCCCUAAAAAAAUAAAAUAAAAAUCAAAGUGAUUCCUGUUCUUGGGGUCAUAAACGGCUCUCGAUUCAGCAUUCUUGCAAUAUAUUAUUUGGUGUAAAAAAUGAUAAUAGUACACAAGUUUCUCUUGGCAUAUGCGGUAGCUAUUAGGCCUAAGAAAACGGCAUUUAAAAAAAAAUUGAAUUUAAAAAGUAAUAAAAAAAUUAAUUAACUUCAAAGCCAAACAGGAUGUUUUUAAAGGGUC